rnacentral:rRNA from 1 species
GAUGAACGCUGGCGGCGUGCUUAACACAUGCAAGUCGAACGGGAAAUAUUUCAUUGAGACUUCGGUGGAUUUGAUUUAUUUCUAGUGGCGGACGGGUGAGUAACGCGUGGGUAACCUGCCUUAUACAGGGGGAUAACAGUCAGAAAUGGCUGCUAAUACCGCAUAAGCGCACAGAGCUGCAUGGCUCAGUGUGAAAAACUCCGGUGGUAUAAGAUGGACCCGCGUUGGAUUAGCUAGUUGGUGGGGUAACGGCCCACCAAGGCGACGAUCCAUAGCCGGCCUGAGAGGGUGAACGGCCACAUUGGGACUGAGACACGGCCCAGACUCCUACGGGAGGCAGCAGUGGGGAAUAUUGCACAAUGGGGGAAACCCUGAUGCAGCGACGCCGCGUGAAGGAAGAAGUAUCUCGGUAUGUAAACUUCUAUCAGCAGGGAAGAUAGUGACGGUACCUGACUAAGAGGCCCCGGCUAACUACGUG